GCCAGAUGAUGAGUUGAGUAGCUGCAUCAGCUCUCGGGCUGUGAUGACCUGCUAUCUAUCACCCUUUUCUGAUGGCU
ensembl:snoRNA SNORD83 Small nucleolar RNA SNORD83